CCAAACAUCAGCCGAAGUCAAGAAGAAGAGUACAAAAUGAACUGUCCUUUAAUGGGUACACACAGCUUUUAUGCAAGUCCCCAUGCAAGGGGACAGCCCUCAGGGAGGGACAAACAAUUACCAAUCACAGGCAGCAAAACGUUAACACACCCACAAUUCCCUCCUCUAGCCCAGGACAUAAUUUAGUCUGAUAAAAUAGUAACUUAAUUAGCUCCGGGCUGAAAAAUCAUUUUCCCCAACUUUCAGAACACCCCUUUAUACUGGGGGUAUCCCCAUAAAUGUGUCCCCUGAUAGCCCUGAUCUGGGUGACCAACAUAUUCGAAUUUCACCCAGAUCGAUUCAGGGGUUCGCAAAUUUUAUGGAAGUCUUGUGUGACCGGCUCACCCUGGGCUGCAUGCCCAAAACAGUUCCACGAAUUUGGUGGGUUUUGCCUGUCACUUUCGAAAAACAUAAAAAUGAUAAAAAUACAGAAUGGAUCCCUCUGGCUCCUAGCAGCGUUCGUGCCCCUCUGUCGAAUGCACCAAAGUACCGAAUAGCGCUCUUCUAGCUAUUCGGUAAAUAGAGUUCCAGCGUUCAUCUGUUUGGGACCGGUGUUCGGGAAGUCGAGUGUCCGUAAAACAGUUCCAUGCAACACAAACACACUCUGCAUUCAUUAUACACACACUACAUCCACAACACAAACACACUCUGCAUUCAUUAUACACACACUACAUCCACAACACAAACACACUCUGCAUUCAUUAU